rnacentral:ncRNA from 1 species
CUUAGCGCCAGCACCUGUCAGAUGGGUAAAGACGUGAUAUGUGUCCGAUGUGGCAUGACAUCUUUCAGGUUGACGAGGAGGAAGGUUAUCGAAAUUUCGGCGGAUGCUUUCCCGUACGAUUACCGUGUGCGAUAUGUGAGAUUAAAUAUGAGGGUAACUUCAAAACAGAGGUCU